CUUGAUCUAUUCUUUGUAAUUAAGCUCUGCUUUACAAGCCUGGUAUUGAGUCUCGGCUAAUUGCUUAUCAUUUGCUAUCAAACUAGCAUAAGUUCCCUUGAGUGCAUCACCCACUUUUAUUCUUUUGAAUACCUCAGUUUAGACUUUGUCAUCUACUCGACGCACCCUGCCUCUCUUCUGGUUCAAGUUGAACUUCAAAGUUUCUUUCUCCAAGAAGAUCUUACAAAGUCUAGACUUGAGAUCGGCGUUCU
rnacentral:lncRNA from 1 species